rnacentral:rRNA from 1 species
CAACCUUCGGGCUUAGCGGCGGCGGGUGAGUAACGCGUGGGAAACGCACCCAUUCCUGCGGAAUAGGCCCUGGAAACGGGGUUUAAUACCGCAUACGCCCUUCGGGGGAAAGAAUUUCGGGGAUGGAUCGGCCCGCGUUGGAUUAGGUAGUUGGGGGGAAAAAGCCUACCAAGCCGACGAUCCAUAGCUGGUUUUAGAGGAUGAUCAGCCACACUGGGACUGAGACACGGCCCAGACUCCUACGGGAGGCAGCAGUGGGGAAUCUUAGACAAUGGGGGCAACCCUGAUCUAGCCAUGCCGCGUGAGUGAUGAAGGUCUUA